CCAGAGUUUCUUAGCUGUUACGUCAAAUAUUCAGUUACGAACUGGAUAGACUUGUAUUCAUUCUGUAUACUGAGCAUACACUGUUUGCUAUAGCUUUUUGGGGGUAUUUUACGACAUUAGAAGUGCUCAGGAUUACAGAUCGGGAAGAUUCGAAGACUGUCGAUCUUUCAAAAGUUUCAUCUUCGUGGGCGUUUUGGGCCUUGAAGUAGGUGACUUUGCGCCGACGUAAAAUGGAGAACACAUGCAUUAAAGAUAUAAACUAUUUAAACUAUCAUGAAAAUAUUCUAGACUGCUUCUGAAAUACUUUAUAAAUUCCUGUUGAGAUAAA